rnacentral:rRNA from 1 species
UACGUAGGGUCCGAGCGUUGUCCGGAAUUACUGGGCGUAAAGGGCUCGUAGGCGGUUUGUCGCGUCGGGAGUGAAAACCAGGUGCUUAACACCUGGCUUGCUUUCGAUACGGGCAGACUAGAGGCAUGCAGGGGAGAACGGAAUUCCUGGUGUAGCGGUGAAAUGCGCAGAUAUCAGGAGGAACACCGGUGGCGAAGGCGGUUCUCUGGGCAUGUCCUGACGCUGAGGAGCGAAAGUGUGGGGAGCAAACAGG